UACGUAGGGUCCGAGCGUUGUCCGGAUUUAUUGGGCGUAAAGAGCUCGUAGGCGGUUCCGUAAGUCAGAUGUGAAAACUCAGGGCUCAACCCGGAGACGCCAUCUGAUACUGCGGUGACUUGAGUCUGGUAGGGGAACACGGAAUUCCUGGUGUAGCGGUGAAAUGCGCAGAUAUCAGGAGGAACACCGAUGGCGAAGGCAGUUCUCUGGGCCGUAACUGACGCUGAGGAGCGAAAGCGUGGGGAGCGAACAGG
rnacentral:rRNA from 1 species